GCAUCGGUGGUUCAGUGGUAGAAAUCUCACCUUCUAUGCAGGAGACUUAAGUUCGAUUCCUGGCCAAUGCA
rnacentral:tRNA from 1 species